rnacentral:rRNA from 1 species
UACGGAGGGUGCAAGCGUUAUCCGGAUUCACUGGGUUUAAAGGGUGCGUAGGAGGGCAGGUAAGUCAGUGGUGAAAUCUUUGGGCUUAACCCGAAAACUGCCAUUGAUACUAUCUGUCUUGAAUCCCGUGGAGGUGAGCGGAAUAUGUCAUGUAGCGGUGAAAUGCUUAGAUAUGACAUAGAACACCAAUUGCGAAGGCAGCUCGCUACACGAAGAUUGACUCUGAGGCACGAAAGCGUGGGGAUCAAACAGG